rnacentral:rRNA from 1 species
ACUUUACAAUGCUGGCAACAGCGAUAAGGGAACCUCGAGUGCCAGGUUACAAAUCUGGCUGUCGAGAUGCCUAAAAAGCAUUUCAUAGCAAGGGCCGGGCAAGACCGGUGCCAGCCGCCGCGGUAACACCGGCGGCUCGAGUGGUAACCGUUAUUAUUGGGUCUAAAGGGUCUGUAGCCGGCCGGAUAAGUCUCUUGAGAAAUCUGGCAGCUUAACUGUCAGGCUUUCAGGAGAUACUGUCUGGCUCGAGGCCGGGAGAGGUGAGAGGUACUUCAGGGGUAGGGGUGAAAUCUUGUAAUCCUGGAAGGACCACCAGUGGCGAAGGCGUCUCACCAGAACGGACCUGACGGCAAGGGACGAAAGCUAGGGGCACGAACCGGAUUAGAUACCCGGGUAGUCCUAGCCGUAAACGAUACUCGCUAGGUGUCGGCCACGGUGCGACCGUUGUCGGUGCCGUAGGGAAGCCGUGAAGCGAGCCACCUGGGAAGUACGGCCGCAAGGCUGAAACUUAA